ACUCAAAUGAAUUGACGGGACCCCGCACAAGCGGUGGAGCAUGUGGAUUAAUUCGAUACUAACCGAAGAACCUUACCCAGGUUUGACAUCGAUGGAAAGCCUAUGAAAGUAGGCCCCCGACCCACAAGGUCGGCCUGAAGACACCUGUUGCAUGGCUGUCGUCAGCUCGUGCCGUGAGGUGUAGGGUUAAGUCCUCUAACGAGCGCAACCCUCGUCCUAUGUUGCCAGCGGGUAAAGCCGGGAACUCAUAGGAGACCGCCGGUGUAAAUCGGAGGAAGGCGAGGAUGACGUCAAGUCAGCAUGGCGGUUACGCCUGGGGCUUCACACAUGCUACAAUGGGCGAAACAAAGGGCAGCAAGACCGCGAGGUGGAGCUAAUCCCAAAAAUACGCCCCCAGUUCAGAUUGCAGUCUGCAACUCGACUGCAUGAAGGCGGAAUCGCUAGUAAACGCAGGUCAGCUAUACUGCGUUGAAUACGUUCCCGGGGUUUGCACACACCGCCCGU
rnacentral:rRNA from 1 species